UAGCUUUGGCCGGAGCACUGCUUCAACAUAAUGAAGCUCAUUAGUUUUCAAUUUAACGAAACAGUUGAAAAGAGAGGAAAAUACCAGAGUGUAGGAGUUCGAGCUUCAAAAUGCCACCUAAGCCCCGCACCGGUCUGCUAGGCGCACUACAAAGGCUCGCCCGCCCCCUUCUGUGACUAGCCAGGCUUCGAGAACAAGGCACGGGCGG